CCUACGGGGGGCAGCAGUGGGGAAUAUUGCACAAUGGGCGCAAGCCUGAUGCAGCCAUGCCGCGUGUAUGAAGAAGGCCUUAGGGUUGUAAAGUACUUUCAGCGGGGAGGAAGGUGAUAAGGUUAAUACCCUUAUCAAUUGACGUUACCCGCAGAAGAAGCACCGGCUAACUCCGUGCCAGCAGCCGCGGUAAUACGGAGGGUGCAAGCGUUAAUCGGAAUUACUGGGCGUAAAGCGCACGCAGGCGGUCAAUUAAGUCAGAUGUGAAAGCCCCGAGCUUAACUUGGGAAUUGCAUCUGAAACUGGUUGGCUAGAGUCUUGUAGAGGGGGGUAGAAUUCCAUGUGUAGCGGUGAAAUGCGUAGAGAUGUGGAGGAAUACCGGUGGCGAAGGCGGCCCCCUGGACAAAGACUGACGCUCAGGUGC
rnacentral:rRNA from 1 species